rnacentral:rRNA from 1 species
UACGAAGGGGGCUAGCGUUGUUCGGAAUCACUGGGCGUAAAGAGCUCGUAGGCGGUCUGUUGCGUCCGCUGUGAAAACUCGGGGCUUAACCCCGAGCCUGCAGUGGAUACGGGCGGGCUAGAGUUCGGUAGGGGAGACUGGAAUUCCUGGUGUAGCGGUGAAAUGCGCAGAUAUCAGGAGGAACACCGGUGGCGAAGGCGGGUCUCUGGGCCGAUACUGACGCUGAGGAGCGAAAGCGUGGGGAGCGAACAGG